rnacentral:lncRNA from 1 species
CCAUUGUGUGUGUUUUUGGAGUCAUUUUAUGUAUUGGUGUUGUUUUUGGGUAAUUUUUUAAUAAAAAUCUUUUUCAUUUUUCUGUAAAUUUUUUGUUUUGGUGUAAUUUUGUCUAUUUUUAUUGUUUAUUUGUGUGUUUUUAUUGUUAUUUAGCAUAUUUCUGUUGUCCUGUUUUGUAAUAUUGUGUAUUUUUGAAGCAAUUUUAGAGUGUGAUUCAUACAUUGAAGUCAAAAUUUACCCUAAAUUUUAAUGUCAUUCCAACGUUUAACAUCAGCCAACAAUCUAACCUUUUCCAUUGUUUCCAGUUGUGGAGAAAUUCCACCUCCCGCCUGAUUCAAAGAUCCUCUACAAAGACGACACGGGGACAGAGGUGGAUGCAGAUGUGUUCAGUCAUUUCAUUUCCCUGGGAAAUCCAGCGGUCACGGUUUUUCCAGAUCAUGGUGAGUCACUCCGGCGCAUCCGUGUUCACCACUGUCCAAAAUUAAAGCUUUUUUUAAAUUAUUUCUCCUCUUCUAGAUGCGUCUGAUGGUUUUACGGCUCCUCCCUCUGACACCUGUGACUCAGCCUUCAGCUUAAACGUACAGACUGUUCCAGAAGAGCAGAUUCCCAGGAAGAGAAGACGAGAUGAGGAGCCGGUCUUGGCAAAGCAGUGAUCUUGUUUAUUGUCUUGUUAUUCCACAUGUUGUAAAAAUUCAGCUCCAAACGGGACAGUUGGAUUUUUCUCGCGCUGUGACAUCAUCUAGCGGAAACUCCUCCUCCUGGCAAUCCUGGCACCUCCUACCCUAUAAGAAUCUGGUGGAAUCUGUGCUGAAAGACAAUUAUAGUGGUCUGAGAAUCCUUUCAGAGUACACGAAAACAGAAACUCUCACUAAUGCCUCCAGAAGACAAAUGGUGAACAUACUGGUUGCUCAUAUGAUCAAUAAGCAUGGGUAUUUUCCCGCUAAAACAACCAGAGAACAGUACGCGCUGGGGAUCGUGAUGCUCUUCCCUUCCCUCAGAGAUCCGUACUCCAGCACAGGCUACGUGAGAUGCUUCCACAUUGUUUGCAUUAGGGGUGUCCCAUUUCUAUACAUUUACAAUAUCUGCACCAUUUCCUGCUGUGUAGACGUUAGGAAUGUGUGAACUUACUGACACAAGCACCUACUGACAGGGUUGGGGUCAAUUAUAAUUGGAAUCGCUUAAUUGAUCAUUAAUUAAUUAUAGCGUGAUUAUAAUUGUAAUUGUAAUUUUAAAAAUCUGUUGCUGUUGUUGUCAUAGUGAGGAUGCAGGAGGCCAACCCAUUUCAAUCUUUUUCACUUUUUUGCUAUUGCCAAUGCUAGGCUAAUGCUAACAUUAGACUAAUGUUAAUGCUAGGCUAAUGUUAACGCUAGGUUAAUGUUAAUCCUAGGCUGGUGCUAUUGCUAAUGCUAACGCUAGGUUAAUGCUAUGGUUUAAGAUAGGUUAAUGCCAGGCUAAUGUUAUUGCUAGGCUAACAUUAAUGCUAAUGUUAAACAAAUGCUAAUGCGAUUGCUAGGUUAUUGCUAAUGUUAGGCCAAUGCUAACGUUAGGCUAAUGUUAAUGCUAACGCUAGGCUGAUGCGAUUGCUAGGUUUUUGUUUAUGCUAGGCUAAUGUUAAUGUUAGGUUAAUGCUAACACUAGGUUAAUGUUAACACUAGGUUAAUGUUAAUGCUAGGUUAAUGCUAACACUAGGUUAAUGUUAACACUAGGUUAAUGUUAAUGCUAGGCUAAUGCGAUUGCUAGGUUAACGUUAAUGUUAGGGUAAUGCUAAUGCUAGAUAAUCUUAAUGCUAGGCUAAUGCGAUUGCUAGGGUAACGUUAAUGCUAGGCUAACACUGAUGUGACGUACCUGGUCACAUGACCACUUGACAUGGAGCGGUACGUGUGGACAGAAGAGGAGGCCGAGACAUUUCUUAGCAUUAAUCUUAAUAAUGAUUAAUGCCACAUUAGACAUGAAACAAAGGAAUGCAGAAUGUUCUAAGGAAGUUUGGAGCGUCCCAGGAUGGGAUUUUACGAGAGUUACGUGGCUCCAAAACAACCUCCAAUGGAAACAUGUUCAAAGCGCAAUUACACUUUGUCGGAAUUUUUGAAAUUUUGCUUUCAUUUCACAAAAAACUAAUGGAAACACAGCUAGUGAUCCAGUUAACUGACAAUAUCUAGAAAAGAGAUUUGGCAUUUGGAAGUUUUUGUUCUCGUUUUAUGAGUAUGAGUUCACGCAUUCCCAAUACCUCCGUUUACUUUUAUCAAUUAAAAAUAAUUAUGGUUUGUCAAACUCGAGGAUUUCUUGAGACUAUUUUUUUUUUUCUUUUUAGGAAAUUUCCUUUGUGUGACAAUGUUGAUGUUUUUUUUUUUUCAUGCAGCAACACUUCUAUGAUGCUAAAAGUGGCACUGGCUACAUAUCAUGGCGUCUGAAAACAGUGCAAAGGAGGACUCGUCAACUGUCUGGAAUCUCCACCCACAACUCCACAAAUCUGUCUUGGGGAGGCCCAAAGGUUGUGUGACAGUGUGACAUGAUUCAUGUUUAGUUUCAAACAUGGCUGAAACCUUAAUGUGCGUUCACACUGAACGUGACUUCAGCAACUACAGUCACUUAAAUGGCCCGUGAUGAGUCGCUUGAACAUUGUUGAGCUUUUUGAGGCUGAUCGCUUCAUCUGUGGCCGUACGUUUAUGCUGCAUUCGAUUGCACUCGGAACUCGGAUAGAUCUGACGGAACGAAUCAGAAAAGUGCAAUAAAACGGCCCUUGAGCUCGAGACCCUGACUUGG